rnacentral:lncRNA from 1 species
AUGAAAUGAAAGUUGAGAGAGAUGUAGUAAUAAUUAUAUAUAUAAGAUUGCUUGGAUCCAUUAAAAAAAAAGCUUCUUCACAUUCCAGCUCUUAUACAACUUUGUUUAUUGUGUCUGCUUUAUUCAAAAACACCAUGUCAAAUGUUCCAUUUCAUUCCUUUGAUACCCUAUUUAACUUCCUAUAUUUGCACUUUUUAUUUACGUAAUUUGAUGUUUGUUCUGUGAAAGCAUUUAAUUUUGAACUCAUCGAUUCUUACUCU